rnacentral:lncRNA from 1 species
GUGAAGAAGGAGUGUAAAGUUGGGGUGGGGGAGUGGAGCUGUGUGGGCUGUGACAUUGUCCUUUAUUAUCAGAGAACCUUAGCGGCAGCAGCCUCAAGCAAAUGAGACAGUCCCCCUGGGAAGGAUGGCAGUGGAGAGCUUCUCUUCGGCAUGUCAUAUUGCAUCUACUGGUACUUUGUGACAGAUGAUGCCACAAAUAAUUCUAAUUUCUUCAUCCCAUCCUCUCCAACCAUUUGGUUUCAUCGUGCUUGCACAAAGACGAGGAAUAGCAGAGGACAAGGGGGAGGGAUGGAGGUUCAGGCCAUGAAGUAACAAUGGGCUUGGAUUAUGGAGCAGAGCCGACAGAGGGAGGAGGAGCCAGGAGAGGUCCAUUUUAUACACUAAAUUUUAUUUAAUUUACAAAGCCUUUCAACCACAUAAUCUGUAAAAACAUAUUAGUUCACUGUCUGGCGAUGUGUUUAUGCUGAUAAUGUAAUUAAAGAAACAGUUUGUUUUUCAAAUUUUCCAUCGCACGUCAUUUACUGGCUGUUGGCUCAUUGGCUUGUGCGUUUUAUAUUUUGCACUUAAAAAAUGUGCAUUUCCAGUAAGGCUGUAUAAUGAGCAUCAAUGCUCCUUGGAUUGUGGGACUUCUUAUGGAGCAAAUAUUUCAUUGCACUGGAAGGAUUUUGCAAUUGAG